UGAAUAUAUAUAUUUGGGCUGUUCUGUACUAGGUUGCUAGAAUUUUUUUGCGAACAGAUCCAGGAGUAUCUUCCAGUGAAAUUGAUGCUUGAGUAAAAGCAUAAAAGAUUGUUGGGUUGUCGAUGUAUGUCCAGUUUAUAGGUGUGAGAUUUCCUGUUCCAGACUUAGCUAUAGAUAUUUAUUGUUCCGUAGAAUUGUGCAAGCCUCUAGGACUUGAAAAAUGGAAUUGUUUUAUCAAUGGCCAUGGCAGAAAACCACAUGAUGUAUGGCUGUUUGCUGAAUAGAAAACCCUUUCAUUUUGAAUGGAAUUUGAACAAAGUAUAUGUGAAUUUUAAGAGAAAUCUACAAAUCUGAGACGCUUGUGUGGGUAUAUCAUUCCUUUGGGGCUAUUUAAGGACCUUGGUCAGGAUGCAUUUGAUGUUUCUUGAUAUGCAUUUUUUCCCCUUCUGUCGUGGAUAAUUUAUUUCUUGUUACAGUAUAUCACUCGAGGAAUUUUCUACUAAGUUAUUCAAGAUUGUAUGGUGAAAAAUAAUGUGAACUGUAUUCUUUGUGCAGGAUACGAGUAAAGCGGCUCCAAUUAAGGGAUCUGAUGGGAAAAGAACUAGAAGGGACCGUGGGGAGCUGGAAGACAUCAUGUUUAAGCUUUUUGAAAGGCAGUCUAAUUGGACAUUGAAGCAGCUGGUCCAACAGACUGAUUAACCUGCGGUAUGUCCUUCAUUAUCAUGGUUCAAAUUGCAAUCUGUUUCUCUAAAUUUGUGGCCUCUACGAGUUGAAUUGUCGUCUUCGUGGAAACAAAAUAAGUUGAUAAAAUAAGUACGAGGGACUGAAGUCAAGAUGAUAAGUCGAGAGUUUUGGGCAGAGGUAUAUCAAUAGUAUCUUUAAGUUUGAAACAAGGAUGAAGAGAAAGCUGCUUACAAAAUAAUUUGAUAAAGGUAAAAUAGAAGUUUACAUCUAUAUUAAGUUGAACUUGUGAGUAUUAAGGAGUAAAGCUAGAGAACUUUAUUCAUAGCAAUGAUAUCAAAUAAAUAUAUGGAAUUGUUUUUGUAAAUUAUUUACUGAAAGCCAUAACCAUGACGGUGGGAAUUUAUCGAACUACUAAGGAUAAAAUGUUAGCUAUGAUGAUGGGAAUUUAUUGAACUACUAAGGGUAAAAUGUUAAAUAUCAUAGAAGAGUUCGGGUCUCAAAAGUAAGGGAGGCUAUGAGAGGAUGAAUUAGAGAAAACAACUGGUCGGUGUGGAAUAUCUGACAUAUGGAAGUGCUUAGAUGAGAAUAUUGAUAUUUAUAGCAUAUAAAACAAUCGUCAGAUCUUAAAGAGAUAAAAUGUAUGGAGGAAAAAUGUUAUUGUGCCUAUCUAUGGAGUGUAGCAACAACAUAUUCAAGAGUUGUUUCAACAAAUUUGAAGUCGACUACAUGGAUCCAUUUUCACCAAUUUAUUCAGUGCCAACUUUAUCAUACUCGUCCUUAAUAAUAUUAUCUAAUAGAAAUUGCUUUUAUCAUUGAGUUUGUUAGAUAAAUGAAAACCAAACGUAAAUUUUGUUUCUUUUCUGUGAUUCUCUCCCAGGUAAAUGGCUUCGAUAAUAAACCUCCAUAGUAUAUAGCCAAACUGAUUUCUGAAAUUUUUUAGUUAUACUUUAAUCUAUGUUCAGCUACCCCCUCCCAUAAUUUCAUGGUAUAACCCAUGAGUAUCAAUUGGUGGAUGUUGACAUAGUUUUGGUUGGUGAGAAUAUGAGUGCUAUAAAUUAUAUGUUAUCAAUUUGUAAGAUCACUUCAGAAAUCUUACGUUUUAGUAUAAGGAGAACCAAACAGAAAAUGUAGAAUAUUGGCUCAUACAGGGAGGAACGUGAUAGUAAAGUCAUUGGGAGGAUCAUGUUUCCCUGGAUAAUGAUUGUUAUGAGUAUUUAGGUCCGAUUGUUAAUAAGGGAGGAGUAAUAAGGAGGCAAGACUCGAAGAAGAUGUAAAUCAUAAGAUCAGAUUGAGUUUAAUGAAAUGGCGAACUGCAAUUGAGAUUCUAUGUAAUCUUAGUAGAGUCAUUGGGAGGAUUGUUAAUAAGGGAGGAGUAAUAAGGAGGCAAGACUUGAAGAAGAUGUAAAUCAUUUGAUCAGAUUGAGUUUAAUGAAAUGGCGAACUGCAAUUGAGAUUCUAUGUAAUCAGACGAUGUUUGUCAAGUUAUAAUACAAGCUUUGCAGGGCUGUUAUUAGACCAGCUAUGCUUAUGGAGACUGAUAAGGAGGGAGGGCUUGAAGAUGUAAAUUAUAAGAUCAUUGUGAGUUGGAUGAAAUGGCGAAGUGCCACUGAAAUUCUAUGGAAUCAGAAGAUGCUUAUCAAGUUGAAAGGCAAUGUUUAAUGCAAGGUUGUUAGACCAACUAUGCUCAUGGUAUUGAGUGAAAGACUUUCAGUUUCUUGAAUGUGUCUGUAACUUUCAAGAGGACUGGAUGGGCCACACCAAGAGAAGUGUUCGAUCCUAGCUUAGAAUGAAUGUUGGCAGCAUGCUUAACACGUGCAAGUCGGGGAAGUGAAAAAGAUGAUGAUGGACGAAGACAUACAUUUGUCUGAACCGGGGUCGGUUGAUGGAUGAUUGUAUCCAGCUACAAUACAUCCAUAAAUGAAAUGAAUGUAUUCGGCAUGUGGAUGAUAACGAUGAAUAUAUGAUCAUGCUAAAAUGAAUUAAAAAAAAAAGACUAUAUAUGCUAAAAGAUUGACACGUCAAUAGUUGAAGAUAUAUUAAGGGAAUGAAUGCUUAAGUGGUCGAGGCUUGCCUUGUGUAGACUUGUACAAUUUUUCUAUUCAUGUGAUUAGAGUAGAAAGAUUUAGACCAAAAUUUUAUGGCCUGUUGUGGUCAAACAAUUUAUUUCUCUGAUCUUUUCAACAGAGAUUGCACUAGAUCCAAUAGAGUGGUAAAAAAUAUAUGGAAAAUUCUUGUUGUACAUAAAAAUUUGUAUUGAAGAUUAUUUCAAUUGUCACGUUUUCUUUCAUAUGGCAAAAUUGAGUUGUUGUUUUAAAGUGAUUGAUUGAUUAAUAUAAACUUUUUACUAAUUCCAAUCUGUGUCCCAAAGCCUUCUAAAAAACCUACCUAGAAAUAUACUCUUUUCCAUUCUUCCACAACUCAUUAUAAAAAAAAAAAAAAAAAAAAAGAAGAGGAAGGAUAUUUUAGACCAUGAUUCUGCACUUGUGUUUUCCUUGAUUCAAUCUCACAUGGCAUUAUAGAACCGCAUGUUAACAAUUUAACUUGAGUUUUUCAUUUUCUGAACAGUAUAAUCCUAAUAUUUAUGCAUCUUCUAUUGCAGCAAUUUUUGAAAGAGAUACUGAAUGAGCUAUGUGUAUGCAAUAAAAGGGGAACCAACCAAGGAACAUAUGAGCUCAAGCCAGAGUAUAAGAAAUCUGUUGAAGAUACAGGUGCUGAAUAAUGACCCUGUCUUUAUCUGUAAAUUAGGUUAUGCAUUGAGGUAAUACAGUUAAUCCAAGAACGGAGAUCAGUCUGUAAAUUAGGUUGUGCAGUGGUGUACACUUAUCCUGUCUGAUUUGGUGAUGUUCUGAGUCUUGCCUCUCUCAAAUGCAAGUGAGGUGUUGAUGAUAUUUAAGACCUUAAUACUUUCAAAACAUAGAUUGUGUCUGUUUCUGGAUUAGAGUCCCGCAACUUUUUCCCUCGUAUACUAAUUGGAUCAAUAGUGUUGGUAUAUAUUAUCUGACCAGUUUUUGUUUGUUUGUUUGUUUAUUUAUUUAUUAUUAUUAUUAUUAUUUUAAUUUUCCCAUCUAAUUAUUGACAUAAUGUUGAAUGUCAUUAAAGUUCAGUGAGAGAAAAUUCUGAACCGUGUUUUU
rnacentral:lncRNA from 1 species